rnacentral:rRNA from 1 species
AUUGAACGCUGGCGGCAGGCCUAACACAUGCAAGUCGAGCGGAUGAAGAGAGCUUGCUCUCUGAUUUAGCGGCGGACGAGUGAGUAAUGCCUAGGAAUCUGCCUGGUAGUGGGGGAUAACGUCCGGAAACGGGCGCUAAUACCGCAUACGUCCUACGGGAGAAAGCAGGGGACCUUCGGGCCUUGCGCUAUCAGAUGAGCCUAGGUCGGAUUAGCUAGUUGGUGAGGUAAUGGCUCACCAAGGCUACGAUCCGUAACUGGUCUGAGAGGAUGAUCAGUCACACUGGAACUGAGACACGGUCCAGACUCCUACGGGAGGCAGCAGUGGGGAAUAUUGGACAAUGGGCGAAAGCCUGAUCCAGCCAUGCCGCGUGUGUGAAGAAGGUCUUCGGAUUGUAAAGCACUUUAAGUUGGGAGGAAGGGCAGUAAGUUAAUACCUUGCUGUUUUGACGUUACCGACAGAAUAAGCACCGGCUAACUACGUGCCAGCCGCCGCGGUAAUAC